rnacentral:rRNA from 1 species
UACGUAGGGUGCAAGCGUUAAUCGGAAUUACUGGGCGUAAAGCGUGCGCAGGCGGUUUUGUAAGACAGGCGUGAAAUCCCCGGGCUCAACCUGGGAAUUGCGCUUGUGACUGCAAGGCUGGAGUGCGGCAGAGGGGGAUGGAAUUCCGCGUGUAGCAGUGAAAUGCGUAGAUAUGCGGAGGAACACCGAUGGCGAAGGCAAUCCCCUGGGCCUGUACUGACGCUCAUGCACGAAAGCGUGGGGAGCAAACAG